rnacentral:rRNA from 1 species
UACGUAGGUGACAAGCGUUGUCCGGAUUUACUGGGCGUAAAGAGCGCGCAGGCGGUCGAUCAAGUCGAGUGUGAAAGCCCCCGGCUAAACUGGGGAGGGUCAUUCGAUACUGAUCGACUCGAAGGCAGGAGAGGGUAGUGGAAUUCCCGGUGUAGCGGUGAAAUGCGUAGAGAUCGGGAGGAACACCGGUGGCGAAGGCGGUUCUCUGGGAAUGUCCUGACGCUGAGGAGCGAAAGCCAGGGGAGCAAACGGG